rnacentral:rRNA from 1 species
GCAUAAUCAUUAGUUUUUUAAUUGAAGACUAGUAAGAAAGGUUUAAUAAAAAAUAAGCUUUAUAAAUUUAACGUUAUUGAAUUUGUUUUUUUAGUAAAAAAACUAAAAUAUUUAAAAAAGACGAUAAGACCCUAUAAAGCUUUAUAAUAAUUUAAAAAUUUUUAAAUAGUAUAAUUAUUCAAUUAUUUUUUUUAUUAGUUAUUUAAUUGGGGUGAUUUAAAGAUUUAUAAAACUCUUUAUUAUUUUUUGUCAUUUAUGAAUGUUUUUUUUGAUCCUUUAAUUUAAGAAUAAAAAAUUAAGUUACUUUAGGGAUAACAGCGUAAUUUUUUUAAAGAGUUCAAAUCGAUAAAAAAGAUUGCGACCUCGAUGUUGAAUUAAGAUAAAAAUUAGGUGUAGAAGUUUAAUUUUU